UUCUGCAAAGGGGAAAGGAGUUAGUAAAUGCAAAUAUGACUCUAAUUGCAAUUAGUAGGAUAAAUUUUAGGAGAGGUUAGUUACUGAUAAACAUGCAUCCUCAUGUUAAUUGUUUAAAUAUCCUGUGCUAAGCUGGUGAUCAAUACCCUGUUUUAAUCUUAAGGUAUCUAAAAUUGCAAACAGUAAAUCUCUGGCUAGUCCGGGCUUCAAAGGGACAGAGAGCUCAUCCAAACACACACAGUAUUCAGAAUGUAAAAAAGUAAUCCUCUACCCUAACUCAAUCUAUGGUGAAAGUAUCUUCUAGGGAGCUAAGAGUCAGUGGAGACACAUGAUCGAUAGCAAAGUAGCUAAUGAUGUUGGUAUUUUACUUUUUCUUAAGGGGCUUUUAAUAAAAUAUGUGUAAAAUACUUUAGGGAGCCUGAUACAUGAAUGAGUUACAUAUUCACUGCCAGCUAAAGUAGGAAAUGUGCUAUUCAUUGAGUCAUCAGGCCAAUUUCUCUAAAAAUAUUGGAAUUCCUGCACUGAAAAAGGAUGGCAUGAAUUCAUCAACUGCCUCAUCCCCUAACUUGCCAAGCCAUUUGAGAAUCACACUGCUUCAGAUACUCCUUGCUAUGCUUUCAGAUUUUAAUUAGUAUUAUAUAUUCACAUCAAAAAGAUGUUACUCUUGCAAUGCAUAAAACUAUUUUAUACAUUUUCUUAGAGCUAAGUAUCCUGAAUGUAUCAACUCUGCCACUCCUCCCUCAUUUUGCUAAAUACAAAUGGGUUAUAGCACUAACAAAUUCUGCCUUUACAGUGGUUAUAGCUGCUGGUAACUGUUAUGGGUUGGCCAGAAACACGCCAGAGUCUCUAAACUAACAUCAUAUUUCUCUAGUGCCCCCAGCUCUCUUCAAGAUAUCAAGAGAAUCUGCAUCAUAAAUGUUUCUACUAUCCGAUAGAAUUGCUUCUUUAACAAGUCUUUCAUCACAUCUCAUAAAUUUGCAGACUGUAACAGUAAACUUCAGAGAAAACUUGUGAAAAGCUUGUAAAAAUAUGUCACCCUCCUAUUAACUUUCUCAUCACUCAGUUACUAUUUCAGCAAUGUUCUUUUACCAUGCCAGUGGUGAGUAUCAUCCCUUCUGGAAAACUGUUAUCUGUUUAAUAGCAGCUUCUUACCUUUAUUUUUUAUUAAUCCCUUUGUGUUUUUUACAGUAUUUCAGGGAUAGAAAAUAAAAGAUCAUUUCUGAAAUAUCUUUGCCUGCCUCUUCAUAUGCUUGAGUGAACUUCUGACAGUGAACUGAAAAUGGUGUUCAAAUUCAAGCUAUAUACCUGUUGAUUUCUCUCUAAUUUCCUUCUAUCUGCAGUGUCAGAUUUAGUUUAGAAUAAAACUAUACUUCUGUUCAUAAUGCCUGCAAGCUUGUGAUUAAAGCCAAUGCUAAAUUGUACUUAUAAAGUACAACCAGAUCCUGAACUGGUAAAAUAUUUGCUAAACUGACUGGUAAGCACCAUAAAUUGUCACCCUGAGCACCUGUUUGGUGAAAUAAAACCCAAGAUAUUUCUGGUUCUGCACCCAAGAUUUGAAACACACCUUGAGAGCACAUAUAGUUCUAGAGAAGAAUUAUCUGUACCUCUUGCAUUAAUAUAAUUUGCUUACAUAGUUAUCAAAAGUGUGUGUUCUAAUGUUUUACAGAUUUUACUGUAAGAACAUGUAAUUGGAAGGCGUGGAUGCUUAAUAAGUUUUUCCUUUCCCACAUACCCUGAGAAGAAAAAUUCACUAUGAGUUAAUGUGAUAAAAAUCUAUUGAAGACAAGCCACCAGGUCGGCAUAAGAAACUGCAAACAUCCCAGAACUUCAAGAAGAAAACGAAAAUAAUUUUUAAUAGAAUUCAACUGACAUCAAGCUGUGAAUGCCUAAAUACACAGCAGUUUAUUUGUGGUCCUCUGAAAAGUACUGUCUGGAGCUCAGUGUGGAAAAGUGGACAGAAGUGCUGUCUUCUCAGAAAUUUUGUCUUAUUUUGAGUGUAUGUUUGGGAAGAGGGACACAUCUUUCUGGUUAGGCAAAAAAAAGAUUGUUCUAGCAAUAUAUGUGGUUGCACAGUGGUUAUUUGGGCUUUUCAGAUAAAGAUCCAUUAUUGUUGCCACUUUAUGUAAAAGAAUACAAAGUAUUUUGAAAAAUACCAAUAAAAGUACCUUGCCAUUUC